AAUUCUCAUCUGGGGAGUGACUCAAGGGCAGCCGAUUCCUCUCUCUCCACCACUUCUGCCCUCUAGUUACUCACCAGCUGCCUCUCCAUGCUUGCUUCUUCAAGGCCGUCAUUCACUUUGAGAACUGGAUGCCGAACUCAACACCACUUGCCUCAGCGUGAGGGAAUGAUGGGUGUCCUGAACAUGGAAAAUCUGAAACUUUCAAGAGGGGCCAGAACCUGCUGUAGGCCCUGCCCAGUGCCAGCCACAGUCUGCUCUCUGCCGAGGUGGUUGGUACCAUUUAUGUGACUGAUUGCAAGUUCAAGUCUGCUCUCAGCCAGGCUAUGUUUGCUUCCAUUUCUGUGUCUUUUCAACUUGCUUGUUCUCCCUAAGGUAAGCAGCGUUUUGUACAUCGUGUGGGAGAGCUUCCGGGAAACCAUCCCUGUUUACCCUGCAGUUACACUGGCAUGAUAUCAUCUUGUUUCCUCUUUCUCCUAGACUGUCCCAACGUGUCAUGUCUUGACGAACAGGGAAGUCUGUGUGACUGACGUGGAUGGUCUGUCAGUCCAGCGUGUCCCUAAAUUGAACCCGGGAAGAGAAAGUUCCUGGAAUCUUCAUUUUGCUCGGACAUCAUCUGUGCUCCCCAGCAUGUCCGUAUGGAGAUCCACCAUGUUGAAACAUAUUUUUUUUGACAUGUCCUCUGAGCAACACUAAGCUCAUUGGAAAGACAUUUUUAACCGAAUCUGAGAAGGAAGGAGUGUCUUCUUGUACUCUGAUGUUGCGCGAGCACCUCACAACCCUAUACUUUCCUAACUACCAUCUACAGCUUGGGAGAGGAGACUCCCCAGGAUCCUGUUCUGGCCUCAGCCACUGGACCUGGCUGAGCUGCUCAGACACCCCUGGGAGGAUUUCUCAGGGCACUCUGUCAUGCCUGAGAGGAAGAUCUGACUUGUCAUUCUGAUAUAAGUAACAGAACUAUAUUUUUCACCUGCCCCCCAUCCACUGGAGUAUGGAGUCCCUGGUUUUCUGUAUGCAGUCCAGGCUGCCAAGGACUGGCGGCCUCCUACCACUGGCCAACUGAGUGCUGGGGCUUCAGAUGACCUGUCUUUCUACUGACAGUCUUUUGAAGGACUGAAAGAAAGAACUGUGGCCAGACACCACUUUUCUUCUGAAGCUGCCAGGUAUCCUUGAAGCCCCGUCCUGAUCAGCAGCCCUCAGGAUGGGCCAGGAUGGAAGGCAGAAGACUCUCCAGUGCAUGUCCACAGCAGCAGCUGAUGAUAGUAGGAAGAUGGAGCUUCAACCCCACUGCUUGAAGAUGCCUUCCCAUGGAGACAUGAAACGAGAGCAUCCAGAUGUGAUUCACAUCUGCAAUUGGCCUGAGCAUUGAGUCAUCGCCUGUGCACUGCACUAAGGAGCUCUUCAGGGAGUACUUCCGACUGGUCAUGUGGGAGGAGUGAGGAGGGAGGCAUGGAGGGCAUGGAGACUCCCUCCUGUGCCAAUGAGAAAGGCAGAAUGCAGCUGGCUCUUGAAGCUGAGGGACAUUCUGAUGUCUUGCUGCCCCCUUGUGGCCUCUCUAAACCUGUUCCCUGUUAGGGCACGUGAUCUGCUGCAGUCCCUGCUUCAAAAAGAUUGUGGUGCUUAGACAAAAUAGCUCUCAGAGCUGGGCUGUUCAGAUGUCCCUGGACAAAUUUCAUAGACACACUGCUGCUCCUGGACUGCACUCCACAGUGGAGAUGACUGGGUUGUGAGUAAAGACUGUGAAAUCCACACCUGGGUGAGAUUCAGAAGCACAGGAGGCCUGGGACCGUGCCUGUCUGUCCAUACAGUGCCUGCUUUCAUUGUGAGAUAUGAGUUCAUUCCCCAGAAAGUGAGGGAAAACCAGCAGGCUGGCUGAGGCUUGUUACCCCAGCACUUGAGAUGGAGACAGGUGCAUGUCCUUUUUGUUUUGUUUUAUUAUGUUUUUGAGACAGGGUUUUUCUGUCUGUCUCUGUCUCUCUAGAGCAGACUGGCCUUUGUCUCACUGACAUUUGCCUGCUUCUGCCUCCCAAGUGCUUGGAUCAAAGUCGUGCACCACCACAAACACCACCAACCUUGGCUGCAGGUGCAUCAACUUUGCUGGACUUGAAAAAGCCUGUGUCCAAAACACAAGGUGUACAGCAUCUCGGAGUUGACAUUUGAGGGAAUACAUGUGCUACAUACUUAAAAGUUAGAGAAUACACAUGGAUAUAUACAAGCACACAGAUGCACAAGCACACAACUGUAAACAUAUUACAGCUUGGGCCUAGGAAUUCUCAGAAGCCAAGGGAGACGGCCUUGCACUACGGAGAAUAGAAGACCACCUCCAUCAACUCUACUAGCACCCCCUAUAUCAUUGAGUUGUGUUUGUUAAGUAGGAAAUAAACUGUGUUGUUUAAUGA